GGGGACUUGGCUGGCUCCUGAGAUGAGCAGGAGGCACUGGGGGGCUUGCACCGGGAUCCGAUGAUGGGGCUGGAAGUCCAGCUUCUCUGCGAGGCCAGGGCAGGGGUCCGACCUGGAAACGGCCCCGGAAGACGAGAGCAAGGCUGUGUCCCCGGCCUUAGCACAGACCACCAUCUACGGGAAGUCCUAAGCCCCCCAGCCAUGCCCGUCCCAGUUAACUCAGAG
rnacentral:lncRNA from 1 species